AGAAUCUACCUUUAGGACGGGGACAACAAUUGGAAACGAUUGCUAAUACCCGAUAUGCCCUUCGGGGUGAAAAGUUUUUUCGCCUAGAGAUGAGCUCGCGUCCGAUUAGCUAGUAGGUAGUGUAAUGGACUACCUAGGCGAUGAUCGGUAGCUGGUUUGAGAGGACAAUCAGCCACACUGGGACUGAGACACGGCCCAGACUCCUACGGGAGGCAGCAGUGGGGAAUUUUCCGCAAUGGGCGCAAGCCUGACGGAGCAAUACCGCGUGGGGGAGGAAGGUCUGUGGAUUGUAAACCCCUUUUCUCAGGGAAGAAGCUCUGACGGUACCUGAGGAAUCAGCAUCGGCUAACUCCGUGCCAGCAGCCGCGGUAAUACGGAGGAUGCAAGCGUUAUCCGGAAUUAUUGGGCGUAAAGCGUCCGCAGGCGGCUAGAUAAGUCUGCUUUCAAAGAGUGGGGCUCAACCCCAUAGGGGGAGUGGAAACUGUUUAGCUAGAGUAUGGUAGGGGCAGAGGGAAUUCCCAGUGUAGCGGUGAAAUGCGUAGAUAUUGGGAAGAACACCAGUGGCGAAGGCGCUCUGCUGGACCGAGACUGACGCUGAGGGACGAAAGCUAGGGGAG
rnacentral:rRNA from 1 species